rnacentral:tRNA from 2 species
GCCCCUGUAGCUCAACUGGAAGAGCACUUGCCUCUUAAGCAAUUGGUUCCGCGUUCGAGCCGCGGCAGGGGCACAA